AGCUCCAAUAGCGUAUAUUAAAGUUGUUGCAGUUAAAAAGCUCGUAGUUGGAUUUCUGGGAGGGUGCCAAUGUCCGCUCGUAAGCGUGUGCAGCGGCGCCCUUCCAUCCUUCGGUUAACGUUUCUUGGUAUUCACUUACUGGUUUCGGGCUCCGAUAUUUUACCUUGAGAAAAUUAGAGUGUUUCAGGCAGGCUUGCGCCGGAAUACAUUAGCAUGGAAUAAUAGAAUAGGACUUUUGUCUCCUU
rnacentral:rRNA from 1 species